UUACACACACACCCUUUUAAUGCAAUGUGUAGAAUGUCUUACUUUUUGCGAUCACACGCAAUCAAUACAACUUUCAACAACGGAUCUCUUGGCUCUCGCAUCGAUGAAGAACGCAGCGAAAUGCGAUACGUAAUGUGAAUUGCAGAAUUCAGUGAAUCAUCGAAUCUUUGAACGCACCUUGCGCCCUUUGGCAUUCCGAGGGGCACACCCGUUUGAGUGUCAUGACAUCCUCAAAACCUUCUUGGUUUCUUGACCAGGAAGGCUUUGGACUUUGGAGGCUUUUGCUGGCAUUCCUUUGUUGGAGCCAGCUCCUCUGAAAUGAAUUAGUGGGGUCUGCUUUGCCGAUCCUUGACGUGAUAAGAUGUUUUCUACGUCUUGGGUUUCGCACUGUUCCUGCUUCUAACCGGUCUCGUAGGAGACAAUGGUCACUUGACCCACAAACCUUGACCUCAAAUCGGGUGAGACUACCCGCUGAACUUAAGCAUAUCAAUAAGCGGAGGAAAAGAAACUAACAAGGAUUCCCCUAGUAACUGCGAGUGAAGCGGGAAAAGCUCAAAUUUAAAAUCUGGUGGUCUUUGGCCACCCGAGUUGAA
rnacentral:rRNA from 1 species